AAGGUCUACCAUAUCACCCUGCAACUCACAACUGGCAACCCACUAAAGCUAAGCAGGUGUGAGCUUGGUCAGUACCUGGAUGGGAGACCUCCUGGGAAAAACUUAGGUUGCUGCCGUUA
rnacentral:rRNA from 1 species